rnacentral:rRNA from 1 species
CCUACGGGUGGCUGCAGUAGGGAAUAUUGGACAAUGGAGGAAACUCUGAUCCAGCCAUCCCGCGUGAAGGAUUAAGGUCCUAUGGAUUGUAAACUUCUUUUCUUUGGGAAUAAAAUCUCCGAUUCCUCGGAGCUUGAAGGUACCAGGGGAAUAAGCACCGGCUAACUCCGUGCCAGCAGCCGCGGUAAUACGGAGGGUGCAAGCGUUACCCGGAUUCACGGGUGCGAAAGGGUGCGUAGGUGGUUGUGUAGAAAGCCUACAGCUUAACUGUAGAAUUGCCAUUGAUACUGCGUAACUUGAAUCAAGUCGAAGUGGAUGGAAUAGAUCAUGUAGCGGUGAAAUGCUUAGAUAUGAUUUAGAACACCAAUUGCGAAGGCAGUUCACUAGGCUUGUAUUGACACUGAGGCACGAAAGCGUGGGGAUCAAACAGGAUUAGAUACCCCAGUAGUC